GAUGAACGCUGGCGGCGUGCCUAAUACAUGCAAGUCGAGCGAACGGACGAGAAGCUUGCUUUUCUGAUGUUAGCGGCGGACGGGUGAGUAACACGUGGAUAACCUACCUAUAAGACUGGGAUAACUUCGGGAAACCGGAGCUAAUACCGGAUAAUAUUUUGAACCGCAUGGUUCAAAAGUGAAAGACGGUCUUGCUGUCACUUAUAGAUGGAUCCGCGCUGCAUUAGCUAGUUGGUAAGGUAACGGCUUACCAAGGCAACGAUGCAUAGCCGACCUGAGAGGGUGAUCGGCCACACUGGAACUGAGACACGGUCCAGACUCCUACGGGAGGCAGCAGUAGGGAAUCUUCCGCAAUGGGCGAAAGCCUGACGGAGCAACGCCGCGUGAGUGAUGAAGGUCUUCGGAUCGUAAAACUCUGUUAUUAGGGAAGAAAAUAUGUGUAAGUAACUGUGGACAUCUUGACGGUACCUAAACAAAAAGCCACGGCUAACUACGUG
rnacentral:rRNA from 1 species